AUUAACGGCGGUAGAGAGAGCCCAUACCUCCUGAAUAUUAUCCCAAGUAUAAAACUAAGCAAUACACCAACUAUUGAUGAGAGAGAAAUAGAAAACAGAAAAUAUAUAGUUGUAGACAAUUCCAACAUGCUACAGUGGAUUAGAAGUUUCGCUUAUUGUCGGUGUGGGAAAAAAAUGUGUGUCAAUGAAGAUAAUGUUUGUGGGAGUAUAUAUUACUUUGUUGCUAAGUGCACUGACUGUGGUACAAAUUUUAGGAUGUGCAGUUCAGAAGGUGGGGUAACAAAAGCCUCACCAAGUGAAGGUCAAAUGCCAAGCCACUAUGAUAUACAUAAUAAAUUAGUAAAGGCUACAUUACAGUCAUCAUCUGGAUACAAUCAAAUUACAGAAUUACAAGCCUGUUUGAAUUUAGAUAUAUUUUCGAAGAAAACCUACCACAAAAUUGCUAUUGAGAUAGAGGAGGACACAAUUAAAAGAUUAGAAGAAGUGAUGGAGAAGACACGUGCUGCAUUACACCAGAAAUUAGAAGAGAAUGGAGAUAAGAAUGAAGUAAAGAAAAUACGAGUGUCAUGUGAUGGAUCUUGGUCUAAGAGAGGGUUCACUUCCAUGUAUGGAUUUGUAUCUGUAAUAGAAAUGGAGACUGGCUGGGUGGUAGAUUUUGUCCUUUUGAGUAAGUGGUGCAAGAUAUGUGAAAGAGGAGAGGAAAAGAGGGAUCAUGAGUGUACUAAGAACUAUGAUGGCAGCUCACCAGCUAUGGAGAUGGAGGGGUGGAGGAAGCUGUGGGAGCGAUCUGUGACAAAGUGCAAAUUCAUGUAUGAAGAAGUAAUUCCAGAUGGUGACUCCAAAGGAAUAAAAGCCGUGCAGAAUUUAAACAUGUACACAGUAAAGAAGUUUGAGUGCAUAAAUCACGUUUCAAAGAGGAUUGGCACGGCUCUCCUAAAUGCAAAAAAAGUUAGUAAGCUGGGAGGAAAAAAAGAAGGGUCACUAACAGUACCCAAAGUAAAGAGGCUGGCACACUAUUUCGGGAAGUCAAUAAGGGAAGAGACAACUGUAGAAGAUAUGAAAAGAAGCAUAUAUGCCACGCUCAAGCAUUGCAUGAGCACUGACAUACAACCUCAGCAUAAUCAGUGUCCAGAUGGAACAAGAUCCUGGUGCUUCUAUAAAAGAGCCAUAGCUCUAAAUAAAAGAAUACCAUCACACAAAAAGAAAAUGACAACAUAUCUAAGACCAGAUGUGGUAAAGGCAAUCCUACCUGCAUAUCAAAGAGUUGCUACUUCAGAACUGUUGGAGAAGUGUAAAAAUGAAACACAAAAUGCAAAUGAGAGCCUGCAUAAUGUAAUUUGGAGUAAUCUCCCCAAAACAAAGUUCUUUUCUUUGAGAAGAAUGAUGUACUCUAUCUACAGAAGUGUAGUAAAAUUUAAUCAUGGAGCCAGUACACUUGCGAAGGCAACAGGAGACACCUGCUUAGCACCAAGUGACUUCAGAGAUAAGAAGAGAGUACAAAGUGCUAUCAAGAGAAUCAGGCAGAAGGAGGAGAUAAGAGAGAGGAAAAUAAGGAAAAUACAAGAGGAAGAAGAGAAGAUAGAAGCUGAGGGUGACACCUACGGUGCAGGUAUAGCACCUGUUUAGUCAGGUGUGGCACCUGUUUGGUGAGCAGUGUGCUCAUUGCUGUCUAAGCAAAACCCCUCUGCUAUGAUAUGGCACAGUUAUGACACCCCAGCAGUGAGGGAAAAGCACAAGAAGAAAACAACAAAACAGGAUACAAAAGAACGCUGAUACUGGUAGACAGGAGAAGGAAACUGAAGCAACGAAGAGGAGGGAGGCCUUGCAAGAAAUUGUUGCACACCAAUCCAUUGCAGUGUCAACAUUGCAAGGUCAUCCAGUGAAAGUCAUGAAGCUUCCCCAGCCUGCCUCACCUCCCCGGGACAUAAAGGUUGUGGAGGUGAAGGAGGAGCCAACAUGUACAGAGGAGGACGCGGCAGUGCUUCCCCUUCAGGAGCAUGACCCUCUCGCCAUAAAGCCUGAGCCUGUCCCCUGGCAGCCCUCUGGCUCACAGGAGGAGCCCCAGCCCCAAGAGAGUGAUGCAGUCUACCUCAAAGAAGAAAUUGUUGCAGAGAGUCAUGCAUUCUACCUCAAAGAAGAAAUUGAUAUCAAAGAAGAGGACAUUCUUAGCUUCAACACUGAAGAACUGGCUGAAUGUGUCACAGACAGAGGAGAGAGCCUCUUCCAGGGGCCACAAGAAGACACUGAGGAGCUUCCUUUGAAGAGAAGAAAAGUGGUCCAGGCAGAGGCUUAGACCAAGCUUCUUUAGUCUUCUAUUAAAAAAAUCAUCAUCAUGCAGGACACAGAGAACUUUCCCAACAUUUUCCACCUCCUUUGUAAGAUGUUGUGUACCUAUUUAUUUUUUUACAUCUAAAAAAAACAGCUCAAGGGCAACAAAAAAUGGUUUAAAAAAAUCAUCAUAUAGUAUCAUUAUAAUCAUCAGCAUCAUCUAUUAUUAACUACAGGACAAAGGCUUUUCCCAACAUCCUCUGCCUCCUCUGUCAGAUAUUGUUGUACCUUAUCAUAUUAUCAUCAUCAUCAUCCAUGAUUAACCCUAAAGCGACAACGGUAACGAUUUUGUUAAGUUUAAAGUAAAUGGAUGGCAUGUUAAGACCGAAGACCCGGACAACUCAUCUCCAGGUGCUGCGGGAUCGUCACGCUCUACUGAGUGCUCCUGUCACUGGCAACGCAGUUUAUAAGUGGUAUUUGGCAUCUCAAGUUACUCUUUGUCUGAAAGGGGUGAUGUGUCGAUGCGUGCACAUCUGUGCAGAUUAUUUCUUACAUUUCUCUCACUCACUGGGAAGUAUUUUCCUUCAAUUAAUUUGUCGUAGCUGCCAAAUCUUUAGUGAAAAUAAAGAAAUAAAAGCAGUAAA